ensembl:snRNA U4 U4 spliceosomal RNA
AGUUCUGUGCGGUGGCAGUAUCAUAGCCGAUGAAGUUUAUCCAAGGCACAAUUAUUGUUAAUUAAAAACUUUUCCCAAUACCCCACCAUGACAACUUGCAACAUAGUCAGCAUUGGCAAUUUUUUUUUUUUUUUUUUUUGACAGAG